rnacentral:pre_miRNA from 1 species
CUGCACUUGAGGAUUUUAUCACUCAGGCUCCUGGUUAAACUCCAGCAUAUAGCUGUGUUUAACCAAAGCCUGAAUAUAAACAACCCCAG